CCUACGGGAGGCAGCAGUGGGGAAUAUUGCACAAUGGGGGAAACUCUGAUGCAGCAACGCCGCGUGCGUGAAGACGUCUCUCGGUAUGGAAAGCUCCAUUAGCAGGGAAGAAGAUGACGGUACCUGAUUAAGAAGCACAGGCUAACUACGUGCCAGCAGCCGCGGUAAUAUGGAGGGGGCAAGCGUUAUCCGGAUUUACUGGGUGUAAAGGGAGUGCAGGCGGCAGUGCAAGUCCGGAGUGAAAGCCCGGGGCCCAACCCCGGAACUGCCUUGGAAACUGUGCGGCUAGAGUACUGGAGGGGCAGGCGGAAUUCCUGGUGUAGCGGUGAAAUGCGUAGAUAUUAUGAAGAACACCGGUGGCGAAGGCAGCCUGCUGGACAGUAACUGACGUUGAGGCUCGAAAGCGUGGGGAGCAAACAGGAUUAGAUACCCCUGUAGUC
rnacentral:rRNA from 1 species